GAAGGACAAGGCAAAUACUCCUCCCUCUGAGAUCUUGUUCGUGUCCCUCUGGUCUCUGUCUGUGGCCAUUUUCUCCAUUGGUGGUAUGAUUGGCUCCUUUUCCAUUAAAUUCUUUGUCAACCACUUUGGUAGGCACAAUUAAAUGCUUAUCAUCAACCUGUUGGUUGUCACUAGAGGCUGCCUUACGGGAUUGUUUAAAGUAGCUGAGUCAGUUGAAAUGCUGAUCCUGGGCCACUUGGUUAUUGGCCUCUUCUGUGGACUCUGCACAGGUUUUGUGCUCAUAUGUAUCUCACCUACUGUGCUGCGGGUGCCUUUGGCACUCUCAACCAGCUAGGCAUUGUUAUCAGAAUUCUGGCAAACCAGAUCUUUAGUCUGGAAUUCAUCCUGGGGUCUGAAGAGCUAUGGCUCAGGCUAUGAGGCUUUACCAUCUUUCCUACUCUCCUACAAAGUGCAGCCCUUCCAUUUUGCCCUGAAAGUCCCACAUUCUUGCUCAUUCAGAGAAAGGAAGAGGAGAAUGCUAAGGAGAUCCUCCUUAGGAUGCAUCCCACGACAUCCAGGAGAUGAAAGAUGAGAGUGCAAGGACGGCACAAGAAAAGCAAGUCACCGUGCUGGAGCUCUUUAGAGUAUCCAGCUACCAACAGCCCAUCAUCAUUUCCAUCGUGCUCAGCUCUCUCAGCAGCUCUCUGGAAUCUGCUGUGUUCUAUUACUCAACAGGAAUCUUCAAGGGUGCAGGUGUUCAAGAGCCCAUCUAUGCCAAUGUCGGUGUGGGUGUGGUUAACACUGUCUUCACUGUAGUUUCCCUAUUUCUGGUGGAAAGGGCAGGAAGAAGGACUCUAGAUAUGACAGACUUUGGAGGGAUGACUUUUUGUUCCAUCCUCACGACUGUUUCGUUGUUAUUAAAGGACGAGUAUAAUGGGAUAAGCUUUGUCUGUAUUGGGGCUAUCUUGGUCUUUGUGGCCUUCUUUGAAAUUGGGCCAGGCCCCAUUCCCUGAUUUAUUGUGGCUGAACUCUUCAACCAGGGCCCUGGUCCAGCUGUGAUGGUAGUGGCCAGCUGCUCCAAUCGGACCUCCAACUUCCUAGCCUUCUGCUGCUUACUGUUUAGGAGUCUAUGUUUUUAUUAUCUUCACCAGCUUCCUCAUUACCUUCUUGAUCUUUAUCGUCUUCAGAGUCUCUGAGACCUGUCACAGGACUUUUGAGGAUAUCGCACAGGACUUUGAAGGGCAGGCACAUUAUGCGAAUAGAUCCAGAAGGACUGCAUCGUGGAGAUGAACAGCAACCAGCCUGCUAAGGAGACCACCACCAAUGUCUAAGUCAUGCCUCCUUCCACCUCCCGCUCAUCAUGGGAAAGCCACCUCUCCCUGAAGGAGGGAGGUACUCAUCAGGAUGAACCCAGGACUGCUUCUGAAUGCUGCUACUCAAUUCCUUUCUCCCACAAGGCUGGGGUUUGUUAGAUUCUCAAUGGCUUUUUAAAUAUUUCAUUUCUUGGACAUUCUCUUUCACUUAGGAGAGACCAAGUGAACCUACCUUCAUUUCAGGAGGGAUUGGCCACUUGGCAUAUGACAACUUUGCCAGCUCUUCCUCUCUUGGAUUCUAAUAUUGCCCCAUUAGGGGAUAUAGGGGAGGAAGGGUAAGGUACAGUUGCCCCAACUUCAGACUUACCAGGAAGCAGAUACACAAGUGUGGAAAGCAGAGGGGGUUUAUGUAAGAGCACCUUCCUCAUUUCCAUACAGCUGUACACAGGAAAUUAACUUGAGUUUUAUUUAUUUUGCCUCCUGGUUUAAUUACAUAUAUUUAUUUUUUUAAGUGUACUUUUGCCAAGCAAUGAAAACAUAAGAAAAUUGGGGUGAAAGGGAGGUGUUUAAAAGACAUCAUAGAGUAGAAGAUUUGAUGCUUGAGCGGUAAGGUGCAAUAAGAAGAAUUUAGGGAGAAAUGCAAUUUGUUAUUGGAGGGUUUAUGAUACGGAGCCUGAGGUCUGCGUGUUGCCUCUUAACAAUUUCUGUCCUUCAGAUGGAAACUCUUAAGUUUAAUUUCUCAGAAAAGUAAUAUGCCUAUAUAAUAAAGCUACCGAUUUCUUUUGAAACUUUUAAAUUUAAGAUUAUAGUUUAUAUGUAGUAUUACUUGAAAUCUAAAAUUGUUAACUAAGAUGGGCAUUGUAGUUAAUCACAGUUGAUGGGCUCUAAUUUUGGAUGGAGUCCAGGGAAGGGAAAGUUAUUUCUAGAAAGCCUGUUCCUUCUUACUGGACCAAAAAACUCCUUCCCCUUGUAGUAGACUCAUUACUUUUUAAGUAAUCCCGCCAUCGCUCUGGUGGGAGAGCCAUCCAAAUGAGAAAUCCAAAAUAAUUAGUUCUUGGUAGAGGUUCAUUAUUUCUCCAUUUUGUUCUUUAGGAGAUUUUAGGUGUUGAUUUUAUUUUAUUUUAACCCAUACCUUUAAAGGAAUUCCAAAAAGAAUGUUUAUGGCUAACUUGGAAUUUGACACCUCAGCUCUGGGAGAGGAUUUUUUUCCUGAACGAUUAUUAUCUAAAGCAUGUUGUUGCUUCAGGGUCACGGCAUGCUUGUCUAUGUCUGUUACCAUGCCACCAUGGUCCUGUGCUGAGUGCCCUUAGGGGACUUGAAUCUUUCCAGUAGGCCAUGUUGGAGACAGUAUGAGUCAAUGUGCAGUGUAGCCCAUACUGCAAGGAUGAAUGUAUGUGCAGUGUCACUUUGCUCUGGGUGGAAGUAGGUUAUUGUUGACUUAUUUUCUCUGUGUUUGUUCCUACAGCCCCUUUUUCGUAUGUUAAUUGAUCUCCUUUUCCCUUCUUGGUGCUUACACAUCUCAGACUCUUUAGCUGAACCCUUGCCAAUAACAGUAUUUUGGUUUUCACUUCUCACUGUUCCUUCUGGUCAUUGAGCCUUUGAAUAAAAAUGCACAUAGCUAUGCAGUGGGGUUUAGCUGGAAAAGGUGACUUUUUUCCAGCUUCACCUCUACUUCUGGCUCCUCAAACAAUGGUUGGGCAGUAAGGCAUGGAAGUUGUUUUCUCGUUUCUCACUGACCAGAUUGUGAAUAUUUCCACAUGAAUUUUCUAUUAUUAAUGUUACUCUGGUUCUUUGUUUUAAAAUAAAAAUUCUGAAUAUACACA